CGCCUGACUGCGCACGACCCGCUCGUGGCCCGCGGCCCCUUCGCGCCCCGGGACUGGGCCUUCUGCACGGCCUAGGCAUGUGCUGUCCUCAUCCACCCCGCAGUAUGCGGUGCAACUGACGGUGACCAUCAGCACCCAUUUUCCCCACGACGUGGAAAGCCCGUGAUCUUCUCUUCUCCUGCCUGGGACCUGUGGAGGCCUCCCCACCACCUCUACCUCCAUGAUCCCCCAACCCCAGUCUCGAGUCAGUUGCAGCGGGUCCAGGAAAUGCCACGUGCCUUGAGAACCUCCCCGGAGGCCACAAUGAAAGCCCGUGGGCAACGGGCACCUGUCGAGGGGCACACUUGUCGAGGGAGCUGUCUCGCUUAGGCUCCAGGCCUGGGCAGGGCCAGCGGAGACCUGGAGAAGGAAGAAGAGGUUUUGGGGAAAGAUCAAGAAAAGCUAGGGGAGAAAGGAACAAAAUGAGGAAAUCAGAGAGACGGAAGAUCAGAGCGAGCAGAACUGAGGAGUCAAAGGCCAAAGGAUUACGGAGACAGCCCCAUGGAGGACGGGAGUCUCAGAAUUGAGCUUUGUCGGCUGGGCUCAGUGGCUCACGCUUGUAAUCCCAGCACUCUGGGAGGCCGACAAGGACAGAUCACUUGAGGCCAGGACUUUGAGACCAGCCUGACCAACAUGGAGAAACCCCAUCUCUACUCAAAAUACAAAAAUUAGCCAAGCGUGGUAGCGCAUGUCUGUAAUUCUAGCUACUCGGGAGGCUGAGGCACAAGAAUUGCUUGAACCCAGGAGGCGGAGGUUGCAGUGAGCCAAGAUUGCACCACUGUACUCCAGCCUGGAUGACAGAAUGAGACCCUGUCUCUAAAAAAAAAAAAAAAAGGCCGGGCACGGUGGCUCAUGCCGGUAGUCUCAGCACUGGAGGCUGAGGCAGACAGAUUCUCCUGAGGUCAGGAGUUCAAGAUCAGCCUGACCAACAUGAACAAACCCUGUCUCUACUAAAAAGACAAAAUCAGCCAGGUAUGGUGGUACAUGUCUGUAAUGCCAGCUACUCGGGAGUCUGAGGCAGGAGAAUUGCUUGAACCUGGUAGGUGGUGUGAGAUUGCACCAUUGCACUCCAGCCUGGGCAACAAGAGUGAAACUCUGUCUCAAAAAAAAAAAAAAAAAAAAAAGAACUUAGCUUUGUCCCCAUCCCUUCUCUUGGUGGCUGCCAAGAGCAAGGAGGUGAGGGUGGAGGCCUCAGCCACUGAGUCUAGAAGAUUCUGGGUGUCCUGGGCAGGGGUGGGCAUGUGGCUAUCCAGGCUUGGUCUCGCCCCAGCCUUCUACAAACCAUGGCAGGGAUUUGGGGCUCCCAAUUCUAUCCGGAGAAGUCAGGGUGGCCGUAGCUGCUGCACAAAGACAGCUGAUUGUGGAUGACAAGCAGAGGGGAGGUGCCACUCUGGGCAGGUCUCAUCUCUCAGGCGCCAUUUCCAACCACUGCCAGGUGUGGCCCAGGUGCGAAUUCGUGUGGAGGGGUGACUCUUGUCCCCAGGUGCUGGGGUAACACCGGACUUAUACAUGCCACACCAGCUGUGCCGGGGUUUGGUGGGGGAAAGGGGUAUAUAUGUGACAAUGCCUGGGUCCUGGUGAGGGAGAGUGUGUGCGUAUGUGUGACACUGUGUCAGCUGGCUUCUUGUUUGGGUGUGACUGUGUAUGGGGGUGCAUGUGUAAUGGGUGUCAAGGGUAAGCUGUGCCUGUGUGUGUUAUUGUGUGUCUGGGGAUGCAUGGCAAGGUUUCCCCAGAAACCUUGGCACUACUGACAUUUGGGGCCAGAUCAUUCUUUGUGAUCGGUGGGGUUUGUGGGGGAUGCAUUGCAGGGGAUCGAGCAGUGUUCCGGGUCUCCACUCAGUAAAUGCCAAUGGCACACCCUCCACAAAUGUGACACCAAAAAUGAUUACAGGCGGGACAUGGUGGCUCGUGGCUGUAAUCCUGGCACCUUGAGAGGCUGAGGCCAGAGGAUCACCUGAGCCCAGGAGUUCAAGACCAGCCUGGGCAACAUAAUAAGACUCUGUCUCUACAAAAAAAAUUAAAAAUUAGCCAGGCGUGGUGGCAUGCACCUGUCGUCCCUGCUACUCAGGAGGCUGAGAUGGGUAGAUGGCUUAAGCUUAGGAGGUCAAGGGCUGCAGUGAACCGAGAUCGCACCACUGUGCUCCAGCCUGGGCUACAAGUGAGAGUCUGUCUCUAAAAAAAAACGUUUCCAGACAUUUCCCAAUUGGCAAAAUCACUCCUGGUGACACCGGGUUAGGGAGUGUGUGGGGUGUUUGUGUGUCUGAGAGCGUGUUAUGCAUGUGCACGUUCCUGAGUGUUUGGUGGUGUGUAUGCGGGUGUAUUAGUUCUCGUGUGUGUCUUUCAGGCACCUGACAUUAUGACUGAGUGCAUGUUCUGUGUGUUUCUAGCUGUGCCUGUGGGUCUGAGCGUUUGUGAGCAUUUGACAGUGGCAAAGCCUGUGUCUGUGCUGUGUGCUUCACAGCACAUGUGAUCGUAUGACUGCGCGUGUCCCAUGUAUCUGCACCCACGUGCACGUCCCUGCGCGUGUAAUGCUGCAUCGAUGUGUUUGGGUGUGGCCAGGUGCCUGUAGGUGUCUGUCAGUAAGGGCAAGCUUCUUUGUAUGGGGACGCCUGUGUCUGUCUGAUUGAGGGAGGUACAGCAUGCCAGUGUGUGGCAGCAUGAUUCUUUGUGCCCGCAUGUGCCAGUGAGAGUGUAUGACUUUGAGAUGGACCCGGAAUAAAAAACCCCCCCACUCCCCGAGAUGAUUUGACCGAAGCUGAUAUUUGGACGGAACCACCUGGA